rnacentral:rRNA from 1 species
GAUGAACGCUGGCGGCGUGCUUAACAUAUGCAAGUCGAACGGUGAAGGCGGAGCUUGCUCUGCUGGAUCAGUGGCGAACGGGUGAGUAACACGUGAGCAAUCUGCCCCUGACUCUGGGAUAAGCGCUGGAAACGGCGUCUAAUACUGGAUACGAGCUGCGAAGGCAUCUUCAGCAGCUGGAAAGAACUUCGGUCAGGGAUGAGCUCGCGGCCUAUCAGCUUGUUGGUGAGGUAACGGCUCACCAAGGCGUCGACGGGUAGCCGGCCUGAGAGGGUGACCGGCCACACUGGGACUGAGACACGGCCCAGACUCCUACGGGAGGCAGCAGUGGGGAAUAUUGCACAAUGGGCGAAAGCCUGAUGCAGCAACGCCGCGUGAGGGACGACGGCCUUCGGGUUGUAAACCUCUUUUAGCAGGGAAGAAGCGAAAGUGACGGUACCUGCAGAAAAAGCGCCGGCUAACUACGUG